AAGCAGGGAGCAGGCUUAAGUAUUUGUUUUUCUGAACAGUGUUUCUUUCCUUCUUUAGGAUGUCUGUAAAGUCAAGCCCAUUCCCUGUUCACACUUUCAACAGCUGCUGUGGGAAAUAGACCUGCCGGGAGAACAAGGAGGCAAGGGAAGUUUGAAGAUGCUCUGGAGCAACAACACUAUGGCUAAAGAAAUAAUCAGUGCUAAAAAACAACAAUGCCAGUUGACAGGACCUUUGAAAAGCUGUGAUGUAACCUCCUGAAGUUACAAGGGGACGUGACUGAACAGGUAAGAUACAGAUUCACCAUUGUGUGUUCUUCGAAUGGCCUCAGCCAGGAUCAUGGAAAUGUCAAUAAACUGAAUUUUGGGGCAGUGUUUCAUUUUCUCUUCCUGGGGGAUUGUAUUAGUUACCACAACAGCCUCAAAUGCUGCAUUAUUAAUCCGAGAAAUAGCAGGACCAGAAAAGAUGCCAUGAGUAAGAAUAGCAUAAACUUUGGUGGCUCCAGCAGAUACUAACUUGUCUGCUGCAUGACAUAUUGUGCCACAUGUAUCAGCCAUAUCAUCGACAAGAAUGGCUACUCUGUCUUUCACAUCACCCACUAAGACCAUUCUGUCCACUUCAUUUGCCUUCUUUCUUUCCUUGUGAAUGAGAGCAAAUUCCACAUUCAAUCUGUCAGCAAUUGAAGUAACCCUUUUCGCACCACCUGCAUCAGGUGAAACUAUGAUACAGUUUUUC
rnacentral:lncRNA from 1 species